ACGAACGCUGGCGGCGUGCUUAACCCAUGCAAGUCGAACGGAAAGGCCCUGCUUUUGUGGGGUGCUCGAGUGGCGAACGGGUGAGUAACACGUGAGUAACCUGCCCUUGACUUUGGGAUAACUUCAGGAAACUGGGGCUAAUACCGGAUAGGAGCUCCUGCUGCAUGGUGGGGGUUGGAAAGUUUCGGCGGUUGGGGAUGGACUCGCGGCUUAUCAGCUUGUUGGUGGGGUAGUGGCUUACCAAGGCUUUGCCGGGUAGCCGGCCUGAGAGGGUGACCGGCCACAUUGGGACUGAGAUACGGCCCAGACUCCUACGGGAGGCAGCAGUGGGGAAUAUUGCACAAUGGGCGGAAGCCUGAUGCAGCAACGCCGCGUGCGGGAUGACGGCCUUCGGGUUGUAAACCGCUUUCGCCUGUGACGAAGCGUGAGUGACGGUAAUGGGUAAAGAAGCACCGGCUAACUACGUG
rnacentral:rRNA from 1 species